rnacentral:lncRNA from 1 species
GUUCCAGCUAGGAAUACAGACUUUCUUUACCUUGCCUACCUCCUCAGUGUGUGUUCUUUCCUCAGGGACCUCACAGAGAAGAGUAGCUGACCAGUGGCAGAACUCCAGUGUUUCUGGGUCUCAUGACCGAAUCCUAUCUAAAUAUCGCACCACUGAGUCUUUACAGUUAAUCAAGUCUUAAGAGUUGGAAGCAGUGGUCGGUGAAAAAAAGGCAAAGGUAUUUCAGAUAUUGAUUAUAGCCAUCAAUCAAAGGACACCCUCUCAUAUGCUUCCAAAAGCUCAAGUAAGCAAGGAUUUUUCUGUAUUAAUAAUUUGAGCAUCCCCAUUAGGUCAGUUCCUAAUUCAGUAUACAGGGGCAUC